rnacentral:tRNA from 1 species
GCGCCCAUAGCUCAAUGGAUAGAGUAGCAGCCUUCGAAGCUGUUGGUGUAGGUUCGAUUCCUACUGGGCGCA